ACAUUAGUUUUACCACAACCGUAAAUGCUGCUGACUAUUGCAUAUAAUGAAAAUCAAAAUUAUGCAUUUCGAUUUUCCUUUCAUGCAAUGUGCACUAUUUACAAUUGUGGUAGAACUAAUGUAAUUAAAAAGCUAUUCGUGACUUGUAUUGUGAGUUGAACAGGAAAGUGAGAACAAAGGCGUUGUUGUAGCCAUUUUGGCCAUGCUACAACGAUGCAGACAGCUCUCUUUGUCACUCCUACAACGUGCUUGUUCAAACAACACAUUUUCUUUCAGGUUUUGUGCUUUAGGCAGAGUGACAUGAUGCAGGAUGGAGUUGCGAAGAGUUCCAGGACAUGGUCAAAGAUGGCUGGAACAGUCGGAUGGAUUUGCAAUCAUGCAAUAAAGGCCCACAUGAGACGCCAUGGUCAAAUGGUUGGAGAUCGUUGAGAGUUUGCAGCUAUUGAUGAAAGUUGUUGUAAUAAUAGCAAGUAUCACCACAGAAGGGCCGGUGCAACAUGGCGACGGAAAAAGUGGGUAUUAAGAAUAUUAGGAGUAGGUGACCGCCAGAAACAUCCUGUCUUGUGGCUGGUGUGGUUAAACAAGUGCGUCCGGGAACCACCGUCAUCAGUGACCAAUGGGGCACUUACAGGAGUGCAUUGACUGCGACAGGCUACAGGCACUUCACAGUGAACCACUGUCAGUAGUUUGCGGAUCCAAACACCUUGCGCGCCUCCCAGUAUGUCAACCCCAGCUUUCUCUGUGGACCAUGCAACUUGGACUUUCCGAGUUUCAUAUAGGACAAUGCAUCUUGCUCUGCAUCUGUAAACCAUGGAUUCAUCUUUUGGACAUUUUCAGGAGAAUGGCUGUGUGUGUGUGUGUGUGUGUGUGUGUGCGUUGGUCGGUCAGUCGGUCGGUCUGUCUGUCUGUCGCUUUCUCUCUCUCUCUCUCUCUCUCUCUCUCUCUCUCUCUCUCUCUCUCUCUCUCUCUCUCUGGAUAAAUGUAUGUAAGCCUGUGGUAUGUUAUUGUGUGAUCCCUUGUUUAACAUUUUUGCUUAUUAAAAUUUGUACACAAACUGGUGUUUUUAUUGAUAAUGUUAGUUAAUCAGAAGUUCUUCUCUGAGUACAUAGUAACAUAUUCUGAAUAUCACUUCUUCAUGCAUUAGCUAAUGCUAUAGUACUCAUUAUCAUGUCAUGACCGCAGAAUAAGGGGCAAAGAUUCAGUAGUUAAGCGUAAAAUCUUUUGUGAGUAUAUAUUAACACACUUGGAAUAUCUCUUCUUUAUACAUUAACUAAUGCCAUAGUCAUCAUGACUUCUAUUAUGACUCCAAAUAUGUUGUUAAAUAAUACAUUAAUUAAUCAUUACUUUAGAUAUGACCUCAUACAGAAAAAUAUUACUUGUGUGGUGCUGGUUACAAGAUCA